AGAGUUUGAUCCUGGCUCAGAUUGAACGCUGGCGGCAUGCUUUACACAUGCAAGUCGAACGGCAGCGCGGGGCAACCUGGCGGCGAGUGGCGAACGGGUGAGUAAUAUAUCGGAACGUACCCAAGAGUGGGGGAUAACGUAGCGAAAGUUACGCUAAUACCGCAUACGAUCUAAGGAUGAAAGCAGGGGAUCUUCGGACCUUGUGCUCCUGGAGCGGCCGAUAUCUGAUUAGCUAGUUGGUGAGGUAAAGGCUCACCAAGGCGACGAUCAGUAGCUGGUCUGAGAGGACGACCAGCCACACUGGAACUGAGACACGGUCCAGACUCCUACGGGAGGCAGCAGUGGGGAAUUUUGGACAAUGGGCGCAAGCCUGAUCCAGCAAUGCCGCGUGAGUGAAGAAGGCCUUCGGGUUGUAAAGCUCUUUUGUCAGGGAAGAAACGGUGGAGGCUAAUAUCCUUCGCUAAUGGCGGUACCUGAAGAAUAAGCACCGGCUAACUACGUGCCAGCAGCCGCGGUAAUACGUAGGGUGCAAGCGUUAAUCGGAAUUACUGGGCGUAAAGCGUGCGCAGGCGGUUUUGUAAGUCUGACGUGAAAUCCCCGGGCUCAACCUGGGAAUUGCGUUGGAGACUGCAAGGCUAGAAUCUGGCAGAGGGGGGUAGAAUUCCACGUAGCAGUGAAAUGCGUAGAGAUGUGGAGGAACACCGAUGGCGAAGGCAGCCCCCUGGGUCAAGAUUGACGCUCAUGCACGAAAGCGUGGGGAGCAAACAGGAUUAGAUACCCUAGUAGUCC
rnacentral:rRNA from 1 species